ACUGGCACAGGUUGCCCAGAGAGGUGGUGGAUGCCCUGUUCCUGUAGACACUCAAGGUGAUCAUAAGAACUGCUGGGAACAUACUGAGAAGAUAAAAUGGUUAUAAAUCCUUGUUCGAUAGACAGCGCCUGAGAAACUUGCAGAAACAGCUGUAAAAAUGUGAAGUCAACUGUGACUCUUCCAAGGAAUACUGUCUUUAGCAAGAAAUGUUACAAUGACAUAGACUUGGCAAUGUUUAGCGUUACCUUUCAGCAGUUAUUUGCAUGUAUCCACUGCAACACAAUGUUGCAUAUCAGGGACCUUACCACACCACUGUAAAAUUUAUUAUUAAUAGAAGGAGUUGCUGGUCAACAGUAAUUCUCUCCCUGCUCACACACUGCUACAGGUUGCUCUUGCUUUCCUGUGAUCUAAUUCCCAUUCUUUAGCAAGUUUCUUGGCAGUUUCUCAGCUGUUCUAACAGUCUCCAGGGAAAAAAAAAAAAAAAAAAGCAUAAAACAGUUCAGACAGAAAUACUGACAGUUUUUCUAUUCAGUGUUUAAAAUGGGAAAAUUCGGUAGUGGAGUAGAAAGAAAAUAAGUCUAUCCUGGAAUAUGAUUUGAGACCAAAACAUUAGGACUAUGGCAUGAAUAGUGAUGGCACCAAGAGAGUGAGGGCCUUGGAGAUCUGGAUUUCUUUCUCACUAGAUACACACACUUGCACUUUAUGUAUACAUGAUUUUGAAAACAUUCAAAUACAGUUUUCUCAGUUUAGUGUUUGUUGAUGUCUACAAGGAAGAAGAGCUAUACCAAACAAAAUAACAAGUCUGUGAGAGUGUCCAAGGGCUAAUUAUGUAAGAUAAAUGAAGUAUAAAACAUUAUUAUUAGAAAUUAUGAAAAAAAAAGGAUUAUACUAAUCUGGAAAAGAAUUGGCAAGA